rnacentral:rRNA from 1 species
UACGAGGGGUGCAAGCGUUGCUCGGAAUUAUUGGGCGUAAAGGGCAAGUAGGUGGUCUCAUUUGUCUGGGGUGAAAGCCUUGAGCUUAACUCAAGAAGUGCCCCAGAAACGGUGAGACUCGAGUCCUGGAGAGGGUCGUGGAAUUCCCAGUGUAGCGGUGAAAUGCGUAGAUAUUGGGAGGAACACCAGUGGCGAAGGCGGCUCGCUGGACCGGUUCUGACGCUGAUGCGCGAAAGCGUGGGGAGCAAACGGG